GACGAACGCUGGCGGCGUGCCUAAUACAUGCAAGUCGAGCGCAGCGGCGGAUGGGUGAGUCACGCGUGGAUAACCUGCUCUUUAGUCUGGGAUACCAUUUGGAACCAGUUGCUAAUACCGACUCCUAAAGGAUGGAUCUGUGAUGCAUUAGCUAGUUGGUAAGGUAACGGCUUACCAAGGAGAUGAUGCGUAGCCGAGUUGAGAGACUGAUCGGCCACAUUGGGACUGAGACACGGCCCAAACUCCUACGUGAGGCAGCAGUAGGGAAUCUUCCACAAUGGACGAAAGUCUGAUGGAGCAACGCCGCGUGAGUGAAGAAGGUUUUCGGAUCGUAAAGCUCUGUUGUUGGUGAAGCGAUAAUCAACCAGAAAGUCACGGCUAACUACGUGCCAGCAGCCGCGGAAUAC
rnacentral:rRNA from 1 species